rnacentral:lncRNA from 1 species
UUCAGUUUAAGCUUGAAUCUGCACGGAAUCUGCCUCUGCAUGUGAAUGCCUACAUCAACCAAGGGGAAGUGAAUUGGUCUCCUUGUUCCUGUGGCAGCCAUGGACCCCUAUGAUUGGGUGGUCCUCUAGAGGCACUGACACUGAGCCUGAAGGGAAGCUCCCAUCUCUGAUCCAUGAGUGCCUCCAGCCUGGCAGGACCUGGCUCUUCUGGUGGUAUACAGGUGUGUUCUCCAUAUCAUUCCUAGUACUACUCUUCUCACCUAAGGCAGAGCUAUGAUCAUAUAACAGAUCUCUCUGAAACCUUUGCUGGUGCUUCAGGAGAUGAGCACUCUGCUGUGUUCCACUGAAAUAGCUCAACCACAG